rnacentral:tRNA from 1 species
GGGCUGUUAGCUCAGUUGGCUAGAGCGUCUCAUUGACGUUGAGAAGGUCAGUGGUUCGAGUCCACUACAGCCCACCA